rnacentral:lncRNA from 1 species
GCUGGUACGGGUGGAGUGUAGUGGUUGGUGGGUUGAGUAGUCUCCCCAAAUGGGCUUGCAUAUGUUUAUUGAUGUUGCAUGUAUUUUGAAAUGGGCCUAUGGGCCAUACUGUUAUCUGAAUAAGGAGCUAAGGCCCAGUUUAUUGUAAUCUGAAAAGGGCUCUCGUCCAGUACCACUGUUACCUGAAUGGGCUUAGGCCCAAUAGGCUUGAGCUACUU